GGAGAGAUGCCGGAGCGGCUGAACGGGCUGGUUUCGAAAACCAGAGUGUCCAUUGGGCACCGGGGGUUCAAAUCCCUCUCUCUCCGCCA
rnacentral:tRNA from 1 species